rnacentral:rRNA from 1 species
CCUACGGGAGGCUGCAGUGGGGAAUAUUGCGCAAUGGUCGAAAGCCUGACGCAGCGACGCCGCGUGAGGGAUGAAGGUCUUCGGAUCGUAAACCUCUGUCAGCAGGGAAGAACGGUCACUGUGCUAAUCAGCAGUGAAUUGACGGUACCUGCAAAGGAAGCAUCGGCUAACUCCGUGCCAGCAGCCGCGGUAAUACGGAGGGUGCGAGCGUGAAUCGGAAUUACUGGGCGUAAAGCGCUCGUGGGUGGUAUGUCAAGUGUAGGGUGAAAUCCCCGAGCUCAAGGUGGGAACUGCCUUUGAAACUGGCAAACUCGAGUGUGUGAGAGGUAAGUGGAAUUCGAGGUGUAGCGGUGAAAUGCGUAGAUAUCUGGAGGAACAUCGGUGGCGAAGGCGACUAUCUGGCACAUAACUGACGCUGAGGAGCGAAAGCGUGGGUAGCAAACAGGAUUAGAUACCCGGGUAGUC